rnacentral:rRNA from 1 species
GAUGAACGCUGGCGGCGUGCCUAAUACAUGCAAGUCGAGCGAACAGAUGAGGAGCUUGCUCCUCGGACGUUAGCGGCGGACGGGGGAGUAACAAGUGGAUAACAUACCUAUAAGACUGGGAUAACAUCGGGAAGCCGGAGCUAAUAACGGGUAAUAUAUUGAACCGCAUGGUUGAAUAGUGAGAGACGGUUUUGCUGUCACUUAGAGAUGGAUCCGCGCCGCAUUAGCUAGUUGGUAUGGUAACGGCCUACCAAGGCAGCGAUGCGUAGCCGACCUGAGAGGGGGUUCGCCCACACUGGAGGUGUGAGACGGUCCAGACUCCUCCGCGGGGCACCGGUGGGGAGUCUUCCGCACUGGGCGAAAGCCUGACGGGCAACCGCCGCGUGAGUGAGGAGGGGCUCUGGGUCUUAAAACCCUGUUAUUCGAGAAAAGCAAAUGUGUAAGUAACGAUGCUGGGUUGGCCGUUACCGAAUCAGAAGGCCCCGCCUACUUCGUU